CCCUCGCCUCUGCUUCCACCCUUCCUCCUCUUCCUCCGCGCUUGCCCCUGCCUCCUCCUCCGCCGCCGCCACCGCCCGUCCCCUGCUUUCUCCUCCCUCGCCAGCACCGCGCGGAAGGGAGCGGUUGGCGGGAGCAGCAGCCCUGCGCGGAGGGAGACCGGCGGCCCAAAGAAUCCAGGGAGGGAGGAGGUAGUGAGCAGAGGAGAGAGGAGCAGGGGAGGGCAGAUCAGCGACUGCGAGGGGCGGAGGGGAGCGGCCCCAGCAUGAGCAGUAGCCCCGCGCGGGGGAGACCGGCAGCCCUGUGCGGAGGGAGACCGGCGGAGGUGCUCCGCCCGCCUACCCCCUAGGCGAGGCGGUACCCCGCCGCCUAGCGCAUAAGCGCGCCUGGGCAAGCGCGGAAUAGCGCCUUGUGGAACACUGUAACAGUCACAGUUAAAUUAGUUCCAAGGUCAUCGUCACUUGAGCCGUUAGAUGGUGAUUGCUGCAAUUUAGCUUUCAUUGCCCUGUACUUCUCUCCACGAGUUUAGAUUGUUUCAAACGGGUGUCUCAUCUUUUUCAAAUAACAUAUAUGUGUAAGUUAAAGCAUUGAAUACUGCACGCUUUUGCGAAGCUACUUCAACUCUGGACCUCACACUUUCCAUACUUAAACUCUGGGCCUUUAGCAUUAUGGUCAGUAUCAAACUCAAUCAUUGUUGCUAAGGCAUCAUAUUUGAUUAUUAGUAUCUUACAUGUAUGUAUUGCUUGGUACAUUUUCAUCAAUCUUACAUGUGGCUCCAAUAUCUUUUGUUUCUUUACUAGUUAUUAUUAGUUUAUUACAAUUCCCAGUUCUAUUCUCAUUUAAUUUAUCAUAUUGUCAUCUUGUUCCCUUUUUUGUUCAAAAUAUAAAAGUUGGCUUAGAUGUCUUCUAAUGUUUACUAGUUACAAUGCCUAGGAACAUUCUCAUUCAUUUUGCUGCUCUACUUGUGAUGGCUUGACAUGUUUUUUUCCUUUUGCAGACCAGCGCAAGGCAAUGACUAAGGCCAUGGAUGCAACUCAACCAGGGUGGCACUAUUUCUCAUUAUUUGCUAGCCAUUUAAUUGUGCCAAUAUGUGGUGGAUCCUCAUAAACUGUAAUAUGCGGUGCCUCGUUAUGGAACUGUAUUAUGUCAGGCUAUUGCAUCGGCUGUUGACCUGAUCAUUGUACCAGUGGAAGACUUUUAACUGAUAUCACAGUACUAUGUUUAUUUGUCAGGCUGUUGCAUCGACUUGUUGACUUGUACCAACGCAAGACUAUAACUAGUUUUUACCUAGGUGCUACUGAAAUGAACUGCAGUGUCAUGCCUAGUGUGCCUGUUACUUUCCUUCUGCAAAUUUUUAUGUAUGCUGAUCAGCAUAAGGUAAACAAACGGUUUUAUAUUAUAGUUUUCAUUUUACUGUACAAACUCUGAUAGGUACAAAUCAAGGAAUUUCAAUAAUCAGAUGCUGCCUUACCCUUUUCAGGUUAGAAUAUUUGGUUCUGACCUCUUCUCCUUUAUCGGUCUUUCAGAUUUAACGAGUUGCUGAUAAUGGUAGAUGCUUGCCAAGCUGCUAUUCUGUUUUCACAUGUUUGUUUCACUGCUUCAUUCACCUGGUGUUUUGGCGAUUGGUAGCAGCAUGAAGUUGAUAACUCCUAUCAUCAGCAUCUUGACUGAGAGAGAGAGAGAGACCACUACCGAAGGGCAGAGGGACAGCGAGCGGCAGGCGACGACGAACUGAAAGUGCGGUCCAAAGAACAGACGGCGGUGAGCUGCAAGUGGGGCCGAACAACAGAGCGCCGCAAAAGAAAGUGGAACUGCAAGUGGACCCCGAGCUAACAUCCUGCCUGGGUAGUGAGGCAAAAACUGGGGGGACGGUCAACAACUCCAAUCGAGCCAGGCACUCCGAGCACAAAUGUUAAAGCGAGAUGUGCGGUCCUAGAUAAGAUGUGCGCGCCCUUACGGGCGUGGUGUUGACCCAGAGCUAACAUCCUGCCUGGGUAGUGAGGCAAAAACUGGUGGGACGGUCAACAACGCCAAUCGAGCCAGGCACUCCGAGCACGAAUGUUAAAGCAAGAUGUGCGGUCCUAGAUAAGAUGUGCGCGCCCUUACGGGCGUGGUGUUGAUUUUUCGGGUGCGUCGCUCUAUUGUUCUUUGUUUGUUUCUUCCAUUUGAUGUGAGCUGAUCUACUUGUCUUUGCUGUCAUUUUGUGGUGACAAGGAUGCAUAGUUGCACCCAAAAAAAAGGAAAUGUGAGGAAAAGAGAAGUCAAGAAUAAAGAAAAUAGUAUACUGUAUCAAGGGUGGUGAGCAUCUGCCCCUUGGAUGCACGCAUUUGAGCAGUGAAUUGAAGUUAUCAACACUAACCUCUGCUAGCAGACUCUUGAUCAACUCAAGAUGUCGUUUUAAUUUGAAGAAACGUUGGUGUAGCUUGAAUGAUCAAGAUUCAUGCAUAAUCUUGUAACCUAGUUGAUACAUUAGUGGCAACUGCUGAAUAAUGUAGAUCAGGGAGUUAUUUGUUUUGAAACCGCAUCAGGCAGCCUUUUUGGUAAUGAAGCCCUUAAUGUGAUUCUGGUUGUUAGGCAACCUA